UACGAGGGGGGCGAGCGUUGUUCGGAAUUAUUGGGCGUAAAGGGCGCGUAGGCGGUCGGAUAAGUCUUGUGUGAAAUCUUCGGGCUCAACUCGAAUUCUGCACAGGAAACUAUCUGGCUUGAGUGUGGGAGAGGUGAGUGGAAUUCCUGGUGUAGCGGUGAAAUGCGUAGAUAUCAGGAGGAACACCUGUGGCGAAAGCGGCUCACUGGACCACAACUGACGCUGAGGCGCGAAAGCUAGGGGAGCAAACAGG
rnacentral:rRNA from 1 species